GGGCUACGGCUGUGUGUGAUUGUGCUGGGAGCGGGAGUGACUCAGUGUGUGACUAUGGCUGUGGUGUGGGCAUCUCCACAGUGCGUGCCUGUGAAUGGGCCCCGGGGAGGAGAAACUGAGGAAGGGGAGGAAGUACGUGCUGCGGAAAGAGGAGAAGUGCGUGGGAGACAGUCUACGUGUGCCUGCGGGUGGCCGGUGUAGCUGCGCCCGUGACUCACAGCAGUGGCCUCUGAGAGUGACGGCGACUGACAAACAGUUGACAGACUAAGGCCAAGAAAGAGGUUAUAUCAUGAACCCAUGACCUGACUCCCAGACAACGAUCUUGCCAUUCCAACUUCAGAGGAAUCUUUGGAGGGAGUUUAAACCAUAAGCUUACCCUCUCAAUCAUCCACUACCCCAAGGACAGAGGUGGGAAGACUCAAAGGCACAGGCUAUGCCGAGAAGUUUGAGCAAUGCAGAAGAAAGUGGAGCUCUGACUGACCUUAGCCCGCCCCAGUCAGGCUCUAAGAGGGGAGAUGGCCUGGGCUGAUGGCUCCCUUUCCUCUGUUGGCCCUUCCCUUUUGGGAAAACCCCUAUGUCAGAAAAGUCUCGAGUCUGUUAGAUUGGGAGUCCCCAACUCCCAACCCAAGGAAGCAGCCCUAGGAA